rnacentral:rRNA from 1 species
GAUGAACGCUGGCGGCGUGCCUAAUACAUGCAAGUCGAGCGAACAGACGAGGAGCUUGCUCCUCUGACGUUAGCGGCGGACGGGUGAGUAACACGUGGAUAACCUACCUAUAAGACUGGGAUAACUUCGGGAAACCGGAGCUAAUACCGGAUAAUAUAUUUAACCGCAUGGUUCAAUAGUGAAAGACGGUUUUGCUGUCCCUUAAAGAUGGAUCCGCGCCGCAUUAGCUAGUUGGGAAGGUAACGGCUUACCAAGGCAACGAUCCGUAGCCGCCCUGAGAGGGUGAUCGGCCACACUGGAACUGAGACACGGUCCAGACUCCUACGGGAGGCAGCAGUAGGGAAUCUUCCGCAAUGGGCGAAAGCCUGACGGAGCAACGCCGCGUGAGUGAUGAAGGUCUUCGGAUCGUAAAACUCUUUUAUUAGGGAAGAACAAAUGUGUAAGUAACUAUGCACGUCUUGACGGUACCUAAUCAGAAAGCCACGGCUAACUACGUG